UUAUUGCUAGUUACCAUCAUUGAUUGGGGACUCUAGCGAGACUGCCAGUGAUAAACUGGAGGAAGUGGGGAUGACGUCAAAUCAUCAUGCCCCUUAUGACCCUGGGCUACAAACGUGAUACAAUGGCUGAAACAGAGGGAGGCGAAGGGGUGACCUGGAGCGAAACCCAGAAAAACAGUCUCAGUUCGGAUUGAAGUCUGCAACUCGACUUCAUGAAGUCGGAAUCGCUAGUAAUCGCGGAUCAGAACGCCGCGGUGAAUACGUUCUCGGGGUUU
rnacentral:rRNA from 1 species